GAUGAACGCUGGCGGCGUGCCUAAUACAUGCAAGUCGAGCGAACGGACGAGAAGCUUGCUUCUCUGAUGUUAGCGGCGGACGGGUGAGUAACACGUGGAUAACCUACCUAUAAGACUGGGAUAACUUCGGGAAACCGGAGCUAAUACCGGAUGAUAUUUUGAACCGCAUGGUUCAAAAGUGAAAGACGGUCUUGCUGUCACUUAUAGAUGGAUCCGCGCUGCAUUAGCUAGUUGGUAAGGUAACGGCUUACCAAGGCAACGAUGCAUAGCCGACCUGAGAGGGUGAUCGGCCACACUGGAACGGAGACACGGUCCAGGCUCCUACGGGAGGCAGCAGUAGGGAAUCUUCCGCAGUGGGCGAAAGCCUGACGGAGCAACGCCGCGUGAGUGAUGAAGGUCUUCGGAUCGUAAAACUCUGUUAUUAGGGAAGAACAUAUGUGUAAGUAACUGUGCACAUCUUGACGGUACCUAAUCAGAAAGCCACGGCUAACUACGUG
rnacentral:rRNA from 1 species